CGAUCUUGAGCUCCACAUGACAUCAAAAGUUCACAUAUGCAUCCAUGGCCUUCCAUUACUGUGAAUGAGGAAAGAUCCAUAGUUCCCACAAAGGAUAACGUUAUGGAUGAGCGAAUGUGAUAAACCAAUGAUUGACCAUGGGUGUCCCAAUCACAGAUCUGGUAGAUAACAAGACUGACUUUCUGAAGAACAGAAAAUUGAAGCCGGGCUCAAAUCACAAACAUUAUGCUUCCUGGAAGCAGGUUCCCAUAAUGGACUUUAUGGUCGCAGGAGAAACAGAACUUGGCGGUAUCAGCUCUGCAGUACAAGAUGGCCAUUGAUUCUCCGCAAAAAUCACAAAGAAGCUGAUGGGUUUUACCAUGCUGUUCCAAUUUUGGCUUGUAUUCUUGCUACCCCUUUUCUUACUUCUUCUCUCCGUUGUGGGUGUAUUGCAGAAUCAGCCAUUUUAGUCAUUUCUAUCUCUGUAUUGCUCUAUUUUCCUUUUAUUAUUAUUAUUAUUAUAUAUUUUUUUCAAUCGUAGGAACACUAUAGAAAGAAAAUUUUCUUGGAUUUCUUGUCCCAUUGCUUCUCUAUGUUUUGUUGCCACUUGGAGAAAGAGACGGAGAGACUGUGACUUGGUUUGCUCAGUUUUUACUGAGAAUUGAAAGUUCACACAGGUUUUUCUUCCCUCGCUCCGGCAGCUCUCGUCGUUGGUCGGUGAAUCAUCCCCUUCCUUAAGACUUGAAGUAUUGGGACUGAGUUACUCAGAGAGCACUGAGCAGAGAGAGAGAGAGAGAGAGAGAGAGAGGGGGGAAAGGAGCUGGAUAAUAUUUUUGUUGUCACCGUUGCUGUCCAUGAGCCACCAAUGGUCGCUGCUUGCAAGUAAUCUCUGCCUUUUACCAUCUGGUUUACGAUUUUUGGUUUUCCCUUCUGUUUUCUUUCCCCACUUGUUAUCGCUUUUCCUUUUGCCCUUUAUACCUGUAGUGAUGAGAAAGGGUAAGCUGAACAAGACGGCCGUCGGAGCUCUAACUUAUUGUCUUUUUCAGGUGAACGGAGCUCCGAUCUGCUCUUGCUUUUCCGUCAGUGCCUGGCGGAGAAACGGUUUACAGUCAACCCUCGUCGUCGGAUUAGGCAGCAUAAUGGUGAAAUAACAAGUGGUGCUUGGAGGACAAAGAGGAAGUGCCCUUGGGAAAUGGUAUUAUGCAUAUAUGGUUUCCCAACUAUGGUUUCUACACUCCAGUUUGAGUGGGCCUGGCAGCAUACAAAUAAGUCAUUGGUUGUUAGAGAAGCUGUUGGAGAAUUCAAAUCCCUUGCUGGCAUUGUUAAUAAGAUCAAGCUUGCAUAUGCAAUGGUUAAUCUUCUUGCAUGGCAGAGUAAACUUUUUCUCGACAAAGUACCUCAAACAUUCUGCUAGAUUUCCAACCUUGCCAGUGCAUAUAAAGGUCCAAGUUUGUACGAUGGAUGAACUUCCUUGCUAUAUGGGAGGUGGCCAGAUUUUAGAAGAUAAUGAAGAUACCCAGGAGGCUGAAAAAAUGAUUGUGAUGAUGGUCCAGUAACAGAGAUGGAUACACAAGUUUACAAUUUUGCCGAAUAUCAGUGUAGCUUUGAAAUGACUGGUGCUCAUGUAUAGACCAGAAGGAUGGAAGAUGACGAUAGUUUUGGAAUUGGGAUGCCUAGGGGCCCCUUCACUCCAAAAAGAAGAGAUCACAUGACUCCUGUUGUUUCUGGUGAUUGUAGUAUAACCAGCACCUUAGGCACUGAAGAAAUGGUGGAGGAUAGAGAUAUCUUUGAGGUGACUAAGAAGGUUGAUAGUAAAUUAGGUUAGCAAGGUGAAUUGCAAACAUCAGAAGUUGCUGAUGAUGAUCAACAUCGAUCAACUGAUGGUCUUCUUUCCUCUCCUGAAGUUGAGAUAAUAAAUUUGUUAACUGCCAGUCCUAACCGGAUUGUGUAUUCACGUCGUAA